rnacentral:lncRNA from 1 species
UCAUAGUGUAUCCCUGUAUAAGCUAAGGACACUGUCGGGACACCAUUGCAGAUGUCUUAGAUGUGACCACUUUCAAGGAAAAAGAUCCGGAAUUGAAUCCCAAGCGCAUGUGAUAGUGCUGAAAUCGCGAUGUUAUCGGCAUAUGAUCUUCUCUGGAGAAUUUCCGACCUGCAAUACUGUUAUCACAGGAACAUAUCACAGGGAAAAAUGUUCUACUGUGUAGCUAAAAUACCUCCUCUAUGUUAGUGCCAUCUUCUAAGAAUGUGGAGAACUCUG